rnacentral:lncRNA from 1 species
AGGUCUGAGGAACGGAGCUCCCGGAAGUAAAGGCAUUGCCUCACAUUUGAGUUAUUCAGUCCAGGGUCACACUCGCCUGGAUCUGUCUCUUUACUGUCUCCAGUCUGCAGCAUUCCUUUGGCCUUUCCUGGCCCUUCCUGACCUUGGAACUUGUGAAGAGUGCUGGUCAAGGUCAAUGUUAUUGUGGGAGAUCCUUCAAUCCGAGUUUACAUGAUGGUCUUUUCAUGACUAAAUGGAAGCUGCACGUUUUCUUGCCAAGAACACCACAGAAGGGAAACUCUACACUCCUGGGUGAAUCGGAUUAUGAUUACCUAAUGCUAAUGUUAUUAAUAGUGAUGCUGUUAACCUUGGUUGCUAGGUUAAGGAGAUGUUCUCUGGGUUUCCAUAGUGCAAAAGUUACCCGUUUUUCUCCCUUUGCAAUGGCAUGACUUCAGGAUUUGUGGUCAGAAGCACGAGGUGGAGAAGUCCUGAUACAAUCUUUGUACUGUACGGUUGCCGUCUGGACUUCAUUGACUAUCCCGGAGCGAUCCAGCACAAGUGACAAGUGAAGACCUUGGCUGUGUUUCAGAAGCACAAUUACAACUCUUGGGGUAAAGAGCCUCAGCGACAAGGCCCAGGAAAGCAGGUGUAUUGAGAAUUAGAGGUAGUCACAGGGGAUGAAACAUAAAAUCAACGUGCCAGAGGUUGACCUGGGCUCUUCCACCCUCACUGUGAUCUUCAGUUUCGCUGCGUGCACUCAAGGCACAAACCUGGGAUUUGAGAUUUCAAGCUGUGUCUGUAAACUUAUUUUCAGAGACUCGGAGCGGGCCCCAGAGGAGAGGUAGGGAGUGGUCCUGGCAGCUGUUGGAUGAAGCAGGUUGGAAGGGCCUUGAGAGCAGAGGUCUGUUGUUUAACAUCAUCUUCGAGUGUACCCUAGCACGGCGGUCUCGGCUGGAGAGAUUUUCUGUGUGCUGAACUUAGAUGGAUAUGUCAAAGUGUACUCAAGCUUUCUUGAACUUUUUCCCCAUCUGAAAUCACUAAAAAUGUGCAGUAUUUCAAAAAGCCCAAGUUUGCCUCCAAAUAUGCUUGUGAAAUGUAUUUCAACACACAUAUCCAACAGUAAGAACAUGCUGGCCAUAUCAAUCCUCACAGCAACUCUUUAUUGCAGCAUAUUGAGGUUUAAUCAGGAAACAGGUUAGAGCUUCUAUGUACAGGUUUUCUUCUAGUUUGAGGUUUUCCUGAAAUAUGUGACACAGACUCGUUAUACAAAUGGCCACUAGUAAAUUAUUUCCAGCAUGUGUUACUCUGUCAACAGUGAUGCUUUCACAGAACCUUUGUCCUCCACAAUUCCCCCCCUCCAUUUAAACCAGGACAUUUCCAUCUCAGUGAGCCACUGCUGUAUUUGGGACCUAAGCGAGAAGCUGGAUAAACAGAGGCGCUAUUAUUAUUGUUACUGUCAAUAUAGUUUCCUUCCCUAGUUAUAACUGAUUAUUUCCUUUUUUCCAUUUCAAAACAUUUUUGUUCAAAUGCUUCUGAUGGCUCUCGUCACAAGCAAUAUUCCUUCGGAAAUAAUGCACCUUUUUAAUUUCUCAACCUAAAAUACACAGCCCGUCAUCUCCAUAGUAGGAUGAUGCUGUUAGAGAGAUCAGCUGUGUCUAGUUGGAGAAUUUUUAGGGGAAUAAGGGAUUACAGGAGCGAGUGCUUCCUCUAUUAGUUCGUGCAAAGUGAAGACAAGAAAGAAAGUCUGUAGGAUGUAAGAGGUGAUGUUACUCCAGCAAGAGUUGGGCAUUUGGAAACACAUGGAGUUAAAAGCAGUUUUCACUUAAUGUGCUUUGUUGUUUCUGCUACAAUAAAAAUAAAUAAUAAAAAUUCUGUUUUGCUUCUUUAUAAUA